CUAUGAGUCUCUUUAAACUCGGUCUUUUGUACUUGUACCUGCCCAGGUGAGACCUCAAAGAAAGAUAAUCCCGUGGGCCCACCUAAUCUGGGACAGAUAAAAGAGCUUCCACCAAUAACUUGCUCAGAAGGAACUCUUGUCUUUCUUUUUCAUACAAUUACCAUAAAACCUGGCUGAAUAAGGGCUUAUGCAUAAGCGAACUUUUGGGAAGCAUGAGACAAAAUUAUUCAGAGCUCUAGGAGAGGAAAUAUAAAUUCUUCACUGGACUCUGACCCCAAAUGUGAAGAAUCACUCUGAAGAAAAUAUUCAUAAAGCAUUUGGAAUUUUCAUUGUUAUAUGAAAAUGGGCACAUUCUAACUACAUCAAGUUAUUAUUUUUCUGUCUAUCAGAGAAUUAAUAUCAUUUGGAAAAAAAUUCCAAAAUGAAGUUUUAAAUUAGUG